GUGAGCGGCCGGGCGGGUCACCGGGAGCUCCGGAGGAAGUUCCUCCCCCGCGGGAGGCGCCGCGGCGCCGCGAGGCGCAGGGGGAGACCCUUGGCAACGCCGCAGAAACGAGACCUCCGCCACGCAGUGGCCAUGACUCGGCUUCUAAGCCGAUGAGGAGCGUGGUGGAUUGGUUGAAACGGGCGACCCGCGGCGGGAAAGGCCGCUGGGCUGUGAGCAGCCUCCCCGAUGCCCGGCGGAAGCCGAUGAGACAAAUCCCGCUUAAACAGAAGGAGGACUACGAGCCGCACAC
rfam:Candidatus Caldiarchaeum subterraneum DNA, complete genome, from subsurface mine microbial mat.